rnacentral:rRNA from 1 species
AAACGCUGGCGGCGUGCCUAACACAUGCAAGUCGUACGAGAAAGUCGGCUUCGGCCGAUGAGUACAGUGGCGCACGGGUGAGUAGCGCGUGGGUAAUCUGCUCCCCGGUCAGGAAUAACCCGCCGAAAGGCGGGCUAAUACCCGAUAACACUGACGCUCCGCGGAGCGUCUUUCAAAGAAGGCCUCUGUUUACAAGCUUUCGCCGGAGGAUGAGCCCGCGUACCAUUAGCUAGUUGGCAGGGUAAUGGCCUACCAAGGCUACGAUGGUUAGCUGGUCUGAGAGGAUGGCCAGCCACACUGGAACUGAGACACGGUCCAGACUCCUACGGGAGGCAGCAGUGAGGAAUCUUGCGCAAUGGGGGAAACCCUGACGCAGCAACGCCGCGUGAGUGAGGAAGGCCUUCGGGUCGUAAAGCUCUGUCAGAUGGGAAGAAAUGGAUGGGGGCUAAUAUCGCCCAUCCUUGACGGUACCAUCAGAGGAAGCACCGGCUAACUCCGUG